GUGCACUUAGCUCAGUGGUUAGAGCACCCUUCAAGAGUUUGGGGAAAACAUGUCAUGGGUUUGAGUCCUGUAGUGCACA
rnacentral:tRNA from 1 species